UACGAAGGGGGGCUAGCGUUGCUCGGAAUCACUGGGCGUAAAGGGCGCGUAGGCGGCGUUUUAAGUCGGGGGGUGAAAGCCUGUGGCUCAACCACAGAAUGGCCUUCGAUACUGGGACGCUUGAGUAUGGUAGAGGUUGGUGGAACUGCGAGUGUAGAGGUGAAAUUCGUAGAUAUUCGCAAGAACACCGGUGGCGAAGGCGGCCAACUGGACCAUCACUGACGCUGAGGCGCGAAAGCGUGGG
rnacentral:rRNA from 1 species